rnacentral:rRNA from 1 species
CUAGUUGUGCGGGUUUAGACCCGCAGCGGAAAGCUCAGUAACACGUGGCCAAGCUACCCUGUGGACGGGAAUACUCUCGGGAAACUGAGGCUAAUCCCCGAUAACGCUUUGCUCCUGGAAGGGGCAAAGCCGGAAACGCUCCGGCGCCACAGGAUGCGGCUGCGGUCGAUUAGGUAGACGGUGGGGUAACGGCCCACCGUGCCCAUAAUCGGUACGGGUUGUGAGAGCAAGAGCCCGGAGACGGAAUCUGAGACAAGAUUCCGGGCCCUACGGGGCGCAGCAGGCGCGAAACCUUUACACUGUACGAAAGUGCGAUAAGGGGACUCCGAGUGUGAAGGCAUAGAGCCUUCACUUUUGUACACCGUAAGGUGGUGCACGAAUAAGGACUGGGCAAGACCGGUGCCAGCCGCCGCGGUAAUACCGGCAGUCCGAGUGAUGGCCGAUCUUAUUGGGCCUAAAGCGUCCGUAGCUGGCUGAACAAGUCCGUUGGGAAAUCUGUCCGCUUAACGGGCAGGCGUCCAGCGGAAACUGUUCAGCUUGGGACCGGAAGACCUGAGGGGUACGUCUGGGGUAGGAGUGAAAUCCUGUAAUCCUGGACGGACCGCCGGUGGCGAAAGCGCCUCAGGAGAACGGAUCCGACAGUGAGGGACGAAAGCUAGGGUCUCGAACCGGAUUAGAUACCCGGGUAGUCCUAGCUGUAAACGAUGUCCGCUAGGUGGUGGCGCAGGCUACGAGCCUGCGCUGUGCCGUAGGGAAGCCGAGAAGCGGACCGCCUGGGAAGUACGUCUGCAAGGAUGAAACUAAAG